rnacentral:rRNA from 1 species
GCCAAUUAAAGUGGUACGUGAGCUGGGUUCAGAACGUCGUGAGACAGUUUGGUCCCUAUCUGCCGUGGGCGUCGAAAUUUGAGAGGAGUUGACCCUAGUACGAGAGGACCGGGUUGAACAUACCUCUGGUGUACCUGUCGUGGCGCCAGCCGCGCAGCAGGGUAGCUAUGUAUGGACGGGAUAACCGCUGAAAGCAUCUAAGCGGGAAGCCUCCCUCAAGAUAAGAUUUCAUAGAGCCGUGGAAGACCACCACGUUGAUAGAUCGGAUGUAGAAGUGCGGUAACGCAUGGAGCUAACCGAUACUAAUUGCUCUUUUCGCACUUAA